CCAACCUGAACAGUGCCCAGGCAGUGGAUCAGCUGCUGCUGGGAUUGGCCUCCCAGAUUUCAGAGCUGGAGGACAGGAUAGUGGUCGAAGAUCUGAGGGACUACUGGCCUGGCCCCAGUAAGUUCUCCCGCACAGACUACAUGGCCAGCAGUAUCCAACGUGGCUGAGAUAUGGGGCUGCCCAGCUAUAACCAAGCCCUGAUGGCUUUGGGGUUGGACGCCCCAAGGAACUGGAGUCACAUCAACCCCACUGUGGACCCUCAGGUGCUGGAGGCCACAGCUGCCCUGUACAACCAGGACCUGUCACGACUGGAGCAGCUCCCUGGGGGGCUCCUGGAGAGCCAUGGAGACCCUGGGCCCCUCUUUAGCACUAUUGUCCUCAACCAGUUUGUAAGGCUGCGGGACAGCGACCGCUACUGGUUUGAGAACACCAGGAAUGGGUAAGGCCUACCUGGGUCCUCAUCUAGAUUCCACCCUGGCCUGGGCCCCAGGCACUUUGCAUGUAAUGUUAGCAGCCCCAUGGGCCCUUGAUUCCCAG